rnacentral:rRNA from 1 species
GACGAACGCUGGCGGCGUGCUUAACACAUGCAAGUCGAACGGAAAGGCCCUGCUUUUGUGGGGUGCUCGAGUGGCGAACGGGUGAGUAACACGUGAGUAACCUGCCCUUGACUUUGGGAUAACUUCAGGAAACUGGGGCUAAUACUGGAUAGGAGCUCCUGCUGCAUGGUGGGGGUUGGAAAGUUUCGGCGGUUGGGGAUGGACUCGCGGCUUAUCAGCUUGUUGGUGGGGUAGUGGCUUACCAAGGCUUUGACGGGUAGCCGGCCUGAGAGGGGGACCGGCCACAUUGGGACUGAGAUACGGCCCAGACUCCUACGGGAGGCAGCAGUGGGGAAUAUUGCACAAUGGGCGGAAGCCUGAUGCAGCAACGCCGCGUGCGGGAUGACGGCCUUCGGGUUGUAAACCGCUUUCGCCUGUGACGAAGCGUGAGUGACGGUAAUGGGUAAAGAAGCACCGGCUAACUACGUG